CCUACGGGGGACAGCAGUGGGGAAUAUUGGGCAAUGGGCGCAAGCCUGACCCAGCAACGCCGCGUGAAGGAAGAAGGCUUUAGGGUUGUAAACUUCUUUUCUGAGGGACGAAGAAAGUGACGGUACCUCAGGAAUAAGCCACGGCUAACUACGUGCCAGCAGCCGCGGUAAUACGUAGGUGGCAAGCGUUAUCCGGAUUUAUUGGGUGGAAAGGGCGUGUAGGCGGGAAAGAAAGUCAGAUGUGAAAACUCAGGGCUCAACCCUGAGCCUGCAUGUGAAACUGUUUUUCUUGAGUGCUUGAGAGGCAAUCGGAAUUCCGUGUGUAGCGGUGAAAUGCGUAGAUAUACGGAGGAACACCAGUGGCGAAGGCGGAUUGCUGGACAGUAACUGACGCUGAGGCGCGAAAGCGUGGGGAGCAAACAGGAGUAGAUACCCUUGUAGUC
rnacentral:rRNA from 1 species